UUUUACGUCAUAUUUGACGAUGAUUGACAGCCGCCGAUCUUGCGUAGCUCUCUUUGGGAAUCACAAAACUACGUAGCGAAGGAAAGCCGAGACGCCAUUGAACUUUUGUACUCCGUGUUUGUCUCUCUUGGACUGACAGAAUGAGUUGUUCUGCUGUAAACACAUCCAACCAACCUGUGGGAUUUAAGGAUAUCUGCGUUAACUUGGUGACCAUGAUGCAGCCAGACUGAAGCAGCAGGUUGUGAAGGUGGACGCCAUCAUCUUGUCUUUGCAGUGCUGAUUCUGAAGAGCAUGUCUUCACAUAGGACUCAAAGGAAAUUAAUGCCCAAAGGAAACAGCAGUCCAGACUCUGAUUCCAGCUCUGGUGAGGUUCUGCACACAAAUUGGCUGUCCGAUUCGUUUAAUGGAAGAUUCCCUCAGAUUCAGAUCCAUCAGCAACCCCUGACAACAUGGAGGACUCGUCUCCUGAGCGUUUCCUGUCCUCUCUCGAUGGAGUUCUUCUCUUCAGUUAUUAACUCUUGAAAACAGCAGCACAACAUGCCAGACUGUUUGACAAGUAUGUGAUUGAAUAAAUUGAAAUGGAAUCUCA